rnacentral:tRNA from 1 species
GAGGGUGUAGCUCAGUGGUAGGGCGUUUGCUUAGCAUGCACGAGGUCCUGGGUUCAAUCCCCGGUACUUCUG